rnacentral:tRNA from 1 species
UGGCUCAGACAGUAGAGCAUCCGCCUGCAAUGCGGGAGACCCGGGUUCGAUCCCUGG